UGCUUGUCUCAAAGAUUAAGCCAUGCAUGUCUAAGUAUAAGCAAUCUAUACGGUGAAACUGCGAAUGGCUCAUUAAAUCAGUUAUCGUUUAUUUGAUAGUACCUUACUACAUGGAUACCUGUGGUAAUUCUAGAGCUAAUACAUGCUGAAAACCCCGACUUCGGAAGGGGUGUAUUUAUUAGAUAAAAAACCAACGCCCUUCGGGGCUCCUUGGUGAAUCAUAAUAACUUAACGAAUCGCAUGGCCUUGUGCCGGCGAUGGUUCAUUCAAAUUUCUGCCCUAUCAACUUUCGAUGGUAGGAUAGUGGCCUACCAUGGUGGCAACGGGUAACGGGGAAUUAGGGUUCGAUUCCGGAGAGGGAGCCUGAGAAACGGCUACCACAUCCAAGGAAGGCAGCAGGCGCGCAAAUUACCCAAUCCCGAUCCGGGGAGGUAGUGACAAUAAAUACUGAUACAGGGCCCUUUUGGGUCUUGUAAUUGGAAUGAGUACAAUCUAAAUCCCUUAACGAGGAACAAUUGGAGGGCAAGUCUGGUCGUUAACAGGACCCACCACUCGGUGGGUCACCCAGGGAUGGCCGCCCGGACCGGCGGCCACCCCUCCCGCAACCUUUACACGAUGGGUGCUCCAGUUGCGGGCAUCCUUUCGGAUGGGACAGCACGUCCCUUGAGCCACCACCCCGCGGGGUGAUGGCCGGUGCCUUUCCGCGCGUUACGACGGCCCCGGCGGGCGGAUGCCCCCCGGAGCUCGCCACGGGAUUACCAUAGGUUUGUGAUGGCCCCCCUCCCGGCCGAACCCUUAGGCUUCCCCGUACCAGGUCACCUCGCCGGCACUCACCCAUCGCGGUCUGGAGUGCUCGACUAGCAGGCGUAACCCUCCCCCCGGCGGGGAAGGGCCCUACUAUCUCUGGCGUCAGCAGUGUAGAUACUGAGUGUCCGCCAGCAGCCGCGGUAAUUCCAGCUCCAAUAGCGUAUAUUAAAGUUGUUGCAGUUAAAAAGCUCGUAGUUGAACCUUGGGCCUGGCUGGCCGGUCCGCCUCACCGCGAGUACUGGUCCGGCUGGGCCUUUCCUUCUGGGGAACCCCAUGGCCUUCACUGGCCGUGGCGGGGAACCAGGACUUUUACUGUGAAAAAAUUAGAGUGUUCAAAGCAGGCCUUUGCUCGAAUACAUUAGCAUGGAAUAAUAGAAUAGGACGUGCGGUUCUAUUUUGUUGGUUUCUAGGACCGCCGUAAUGAUUAAUAGGGAUAGUCGGGGGCGUCAGUAUUCAGCUGUCAGAGGUGAAAUUCUUGGAUUUGCUGAAGACUAACUACUGCGAAAGCAUUCGCCAAGGAUGUUUUCAUUAAUCAGGGAACGAAAGUUAGGGGAUCGAAGACGAUUUAGGGCCCUCCCGGCGUCCGCCGACGCCGGGGGAUGGUAUUUGGUCGUCAAAAGUAAGCUGAAAAGGUCUUGCUAGUCCCGGCCGCGGCCGGGGCGACACCGUCAAAUUGCGGGGACUCCCUAAAGCCUGAACUACCAAGCCGACGCCGAAAGGCGCCGGUGGCCGGGGUAAUGACCUAGGGUACGGUAACAACGUUCAGGAUGUGCCAAUGGGUAAUCCGCAGCCAAGCGCUACCGCCCGUCCCGGGCCACGCGUGCAGUUCACAGACUAGAUGUCGGUGGGGGAUCCGUCCCCUAAGAUAUAGUCGAGCCCCGGAGCGAAAGCCCGGGGAGGAUCCGCAGAUACCGUCGUAGUCUUAACCAUAAACUAUGCCGACUAGGGAUCGGACGGCGUUUCUAUGAUGACCCGUUCGGCACCUUACGAGAAAUCAAAGUUUUUGGGUUCUGGGGGGAGUAUGGUCGCAAGGCUGAAACUUAAAGAAAUUGACGGAAGGGCACCACAAGGCGUAAACCAUUGCGGCAGCCGCAGCAACUCUGCGCCGAACAGCAGCCCGAAAGGGUGAGGUGGUGCCCUCUAAGCGGUAAAUGCUAGUCCGCCUCCGGGCGGGCGACACGCUCAAAUUGCGGGAAACCCCUAAAGCCCCCAGCUACCAAGCCACCGGUCGAAAGACGGUGGUGGCCAGGUUAACGACCUCGGGUACGGUGACAACGCUGGGGGAUCGAUGGGCGAUCCGCAGCCAAGCCCCUAAGGUUCCCCCGGGAACACGGGGAAGGUUCAGAGACUAGAUGGGCGUGGGUCGGCCGCGGCCGGCUUAAGAUAUAGUCCGGCCCCCGGGGAGACCCGGGGGGUCCAGGCCUACCUGUCACACCGGGAGCCUGCGGCUUAAUUUGACUCAACACGGGGAAACUCACCAGGUCCAGACAAAAUAAGGAUUGACAGAUUGAGAGCUCUUUCUUGAUCUUUUGGAUGGUGGUGCAUGGCCGUUCUUAGUUGGUGGAGUGAUUUGUCUGCUUAAUUGCGAUAACGAACGAGACCUCGGCCCUUAAAUAGCCCGGUCCGCGUUUGCGGGCCGCUGGCUUCUUAGGGGGACUAUCGGCUCAAGCCGAUGGAAGUGCGCGGCAAUAAC
rnacentral:rRNA from 1 species